rnacentral:rRNA from 1 species
AUUGAACGCUGGCGGCAGGCCUAACACAUGCAAGUCGAACGAGUGGCGGACGGGUGAGUAAUGGCUGGGAAACUGCCUGAUGGAGGGGGAUAACUACUGGAAACGGUAGCUAAUACCGCAUACCAUCGGAUGUGCCCAGAUGGGAUUAGCUAGUAGGGGGGGUAAAGGCUCACCUAGGCGACGAUCCCUAGCUGGUCUGCGAGGAUGACCAGCCACACUGGAACUGAGACACGGUCCAGACUCCUACGGGAGGCAGCAGUGGGGACUAUUGAACAAUGGGCGCAAGCCUGAUGCAGCCAUGCCGCGUGUAUGAAGAAGGCCUUCGGGUUGUAAAGUACUUUCAGCUGGGAGGCGUUACCCGCAGAAGAAGCACCGGCUAACUCCGUGCCAGCCGCCGCGGUAAUUC